rnacentral:rRNA from 1 species
GAGUUUGAUCUUGGCUCAGAGCGAACGCUGGCGGCAGGCCUAACACAUGCAAGUCGAGCGCCCGUAGCAAUACGGGAGCGGCAGACGGGAGAGUAACACGUGGGAACGCGCCCUUCGGUUCGGAAUAACUCAGGGAAACUUGAGCUAAUACCGGAUACGCCCUUACGGGGAAAGAUUUAUCGCCGAAGGAACGGCCCGCGUCCGAUUAGCUAGUUGGUGAGGUAAUGGCUCACCAAGGCGACGAUCGGUAGCUGGUCUGAGAGGAUGACCAGCCUCACUGGGACUGAGACACGGCCCAGACUCCUACGGGAGGCAGCAGUGGGGAAUAUUGGACAAUGGGCGCAAGCCUGAUCCAGCCAUGCCGCGUGGAUGAUGAAGGCCUUAGGGUUGUAAAGUCCUUUCGACGGAGAAGAUAAUGACGGUAUCCGUAGAAGAAGCCCCGGCUAACUUCGUGCCAGCCGCCGCCGUAAU